GUGUCUACAUCAGGAAACAACUCAGCUAUUGCUCUAGUGAAGGAUGUUUGCCUAACAUAAUGGCGUAACUAAGAACCAUUUGGGAUUUUUGAAUUUGCAUUACCGCCGCAAACCUGCCAAGCUCUCAUGAACUUGUGAUGCAAGGGCUGAAAUGACAGAUAGAUGUAGGUAAGCCUCAAUGAAAACAAAUGGAUGCCAGUUCUUUCCUCCAGAACACAGGUGGUGUGCAUUAUGCAGGGAAAGCCAGCCAACUCAUUUUGUUCAGGCAGGAGUGUGUCUAAGCCAAGCUUCUGACAGGCAGCUAGCUAGCCUUGUAGAGUGGAAAUCUAAAUGAGAAACUUACAGCAGGCUGGGUUUUAGAACCACUGAUUAAAAUUGAGUGUCAGUGCAAGCAGCAUAAUAUAACCACUUUAAUGUUGGAUAAAAAUGCUUGCAAAAUAAAGGCCUAGUGUAAAGCAGCCAAUGCAACGUAUAUCAUGAGUGUCUUUCUUAUCUCCCAGUGUCUCUGAAUUCGCUGAUUUACAGAAAUGUUUGAUUUGCUCAUUUUCAGCACGUUCAGCCGUAUUUAAACUGGCAUGAUAAAGGUCUGUCAUGGGGUGACAGGCAGUAAGAGGUGACAGUUGCAACAGCUGGGCCACUCUCAAAAAGUUUUGCUUUACAAGAACAAUAAGCAGCAGCACAAUCCUACACAUGUCUACUAAGAAAUCAGUCCCAUUGUGUUCAAAGGGGCUUACUGUCAGAAAAGCGGGCAUAGAAUUCUCUCUCUCAUAGUAAUCUUUUUUAGAUAUUAAAGCAGCAGGGUGGGAGUUAUUUUUGUGUGGGUUCAUCUCAAGGUGCUACAUCACGUUUAUAGCCCCACAGUCACAUGUGCAGAGCUGAUCGCAAGAGUCCCUCUCCACCAGGAUCGCUUGGGGGGAGGGGGAAUUGAGGAUUUUGAUGUAAGGACACCAGAACUCUACCACUUCUGACCUUGUGUCUCUCCUCCCUUCUCCAGGUCCAAGUCUGAAGUUAGAAAGCAUGAUGGGGGAGGGUUUUGUCUUUUUGAUUCUGUGUGGCUGAGAGAGUCCAGAUACUUUGGAGCUUAAAAGGUAGAGGUUUGUUGGUCUGGACUUGAGCUUCUGUGACCUUUGGAUUGCAUUGGCAAUGCAGCCUUUUCCCAAACUUUGGAGCUAGAAAUUGGAUGGGAUUUGCCAUGUAACUUCAGGAGUGAUUCCCACCCCUUCUGCAGCUCCAAGGCUGGGACUUGUUGCACUUGCCAGAGGACAAUAGCCCAUUAACUGUGGCGAGUGACAAUGUGGAACCUUGUUUAUAGUGCAGGGGGACAUAUCUGUCCUGCCUUCCUAUAUAGGGAGGUUUUUAAUGUUUGAUGUUUUAUUAUGCUUUUAUAUUUGUUGGAAGUCACCCAGUCAGAUGGGCAGGGUACAAAUAAAAUCAUCAUCACCACCAUCAUGAUAUUUGUAUCAAAUGCUAACCAUGUUAGUGCAUGAUACUGUGUGUGUGCUGACACAGCUACACAGAUCUUUAAUGAGAUGCUGUGAAUCCUUUGGAAGCAGAUGUAGACCUAUCUUUUCUUUUUUUUAAAAAAUGAAAAUGUAAUCUUAUAUCUAAGUAACUAAUUUUGGAUGUCUUAGUGUGACUGGAUACUCAUCUUACCCAUGGGUAGGCAAACUAAAGCCCGGGGGCCGGAUCCGGCCCAAUGCUGAAGAAGUUUGCUGACUCCUGCUUACCCAUUAAAACAAAUCCUAUUACAGUCAUCUUGUUCUUAGUUGCUGAAGUCAUUGCAAGACAGCUUCUUCAACAGUUCAUCCUUUUUAGGGUAAUCUCUGCAUGUUUCCAAGGUGAGAAGAGCUGUCCAUGGUUCUGAUUCCUUUAGCAAUGUAACCAAACACCUUCAAAACCAGGUAUUGUAGGUUGGAAUUCAAGUGACUCCAAGCCCCUCUGAUUGAUGAGUAGCAGCAAACCUCACUACUCUUGAUCAAGUCCUGUUGUCUCCUGUCCCCUCUCUGCUCUUUGUCUAUAUUGCAUUGUGAACAGGACUUAUCUACAUCCUGUAACACAUGGACACCCAGUAUAUAUGCAGCAAUUCUUGUAACGUUCUGUGAAUUUAUUUAACAGGAUUUAUAUACCUUUAGUGAUGCGGGUGGCACUGUGGUCUAAACCACAGAGCCUAGGGCUUGCCAAUCAGAAGGUUGGUGGUUCGAAUCCCCGCGACGGGGUGAGCUCCCGUUGCUCGGUCCCUGCUCCUGCCAACCUAGCAGUUCAAAAGCACAUCAAAGUGCAAGUAGGUAAAUAGGUACUGCUCCGGCGGGAAGGUAAAUGGCGUUUCCGUGCGCUGCUCUGGUUCGCCAGAAGCGGCUUAGUCAUGCUGGCCACAUGACCCGGAAGCUGUCUGCGGAGAAACACCGGCUCUCUCGGCCUAUAAAGUGAGAUGAGCACUGCAACUCCAGAGUCGUCUGCGACUGGACCUAACAGUCAGGGGUACCUUUACCUUUACCUACUGUAAUAUACCUUUAAUUGUCAAAGCCUCAAAGAGGUAUCCAUAAAAUAUAUUAUUAGUAAGCAGUAACCUUUUAACUGAUAAAGUUUAUCAUCUUUAAAAAAUAAUAAUAAUGGAUGGCUCUGUCUUGCAGCAAUGUGAUAUGAACAGUAGUUCAUGAAAUGAGCAUAAUUUUAAUAGGAUGUGGAUAUGUAUAUGGUUCAUAUAGUGGAGUGCAGGGCUUCCUCAUGCUCCACUGGCAAGUGGAAGCAGAUACCACAUUUAGCUCCAAUUAUGUGCUUUAAAACCAAGUACUAAAUGGCUGCUGUGCCUUUAUGCCUUUUCUCCCCCUCCCCCCUUUCCCCACUAACAGUGUCUGGAGAGACACUUUUGCUGAUAGCAAUUCUUGAGGCAGCCGCUCCCAGGACUGCUCCUAUAAUUCUUAUUUGUUAAGUUUCCUUUUCUGACUACUUCUUAUCGCCUUCUCUCUGCUGAAUAGAAAGCUGACAUUCUGAUCAUGGAAAGAAGCACUGAGCGGAAAAGCACAUGAAAAGGAAUAUCAAAUUGAAAGUACUCCCCCGAGUGGAUGCAUGUAUAAAUUGUAAGAAAAAAAUAAUCUCUAAAUGCAGCCCUUGGGACUUGAAUUAUUUACACUCUUUUAAUCCUCUUAACUUCAAAUCAAGAUCACUCAUAUUGCUUUACAGCCAGGCUUUCAAUUGUAUUAUGCGUUCAGGAACAAUUUCCUUGUCAAUCAUCACAUUUAACAAAUUCAUAAUCCGCUCGUGUUUUCUGCAUGUAUUUUGGGGGCCUCACACUUCUCGUCUUCAUCCUGGCUUACUUUUAUCAAAAUCAUAUUUUCAGGUUCUCCACACAGUGGGCAAAGUAACAGGAAUACAGCUGUCAGCAGCAAACAGGAAAGAGAAUACAUUUCCCCCUGUUAUAAGCCUCUUUGGAUGUGAAUCAGCCAACCUUCAGGGAACCCGUGCAUUUAGACUUGAAACUUUGUCUUCAAUCAGACAAAAAGGUUAGACAUUUGCACUCCUUAAUUCCUGCUAUCUGACAAAGCCCCUGAAGUAAUAUAACCUAUUUGAUGUAUUUAAACUAAGGGUAGAGAACUGCCAGACUGUGAUUGGGUGCAGCCCAUGUUGUUUUUGAACCUGGACCAUGUUCUCUAUUCCCUUGACCCUAUCUAUUCCCUUGAUCCUGCACAGAAUUGAAGUCUAGUCCUUCCUACCCACCCCAUCAUUUGCUUGAAUUAGAGCUUUCCCUCAUAAGCCUAAUUACCACAUAAGGGAGUGGAUGUUUUUAAGGAGAUGCCAGCUGGGAAGAAAGGGCCAACUCUUCUGGGCAUUCUGAACCCCUUCCCUUCCAUGGAACAAUCAAUUUUAGGAUUAAGGAUCCGGCAGCAUGUGUGUGUGUGUGUGUGUGUGUGUGCGCGGAUAAUUUUUGUGAGUGGCAUAGAACAAACACCACAUUCCAGGCAACUUGCAGCUCUGUCCUGCAUAGCUACUCUUGUAUAAGCAAUGACUUCCCCCCUACUUACCUGGAAGUAAGUCCCACUGAAUUCAGGGAGCUUACCUAUGAGCAAAUAAGAACAGGAUCAGAAGGCAUAUCAUAUUUCUCUGCCCUUGUUAGAAUCCAGCAAAAUGCAUUUUUCAUUUUUAGCAAGCCUCCAGUUCAAGGGUAGUCAACCUAGUGUUCCCCAAAUAUUGCUGGACACGAAUGUUGGCUACCCCUGCUCUAGCUCCUCCUGUUCUCACAGCGAAGAAUGUCAGGAUAUAGUACUAUAUAUCCCUACCAGGGGACAUGUACAGAGAUAAUGUAUUAUUUUUUCUAAACUACAUUGUUUUCCAGGUCCUUUUUUCAAGAAUCUCAGCGGUUCAGUGUGUAUUUGAGGGCUGCAAAUGAAACCAUUUCCUAAAAAACAGGAUGCGAGAGGGAGAAAAAAAAUACCUCUGCGGUGCUCCUUAUGUCUACCAAUUCUAAAUGCCUGACAAUUGUAUAACUGAGACUGACAGCCAGGUCUGCAGGACGGUGAUCGUUUUUCCCUGCUGGUGAAUAAUAUAAAAUGCUUCUCAAUAGCUAUCGAGAAUGAUGUGCAGAUUCACAUAUGGAGCUGUGCAGGGACCAGAAAUUAUGUUAGAAAUGGCUUCUUGACCGAGGUUCCAGAGUUUUAUAUCCAUCCUAAUAGGCUCCAGUGAUGCUAAAAACAGCAAACCACCUGGUGUACCAAGAGAGCAGCGAUAUGAAGCUAAUACCAGACAAAGGCAAUAAAUUAACCCUCUGUUUCUUUUCCCCCAUGUGCAAGCCAGGGAUAGCAGGAC